rnacentral:lncRNA from 1 species
CCUCAGAACCAGAAGAACUGUGUGGAGUGGCAGCAACUGGAGGAAGCAGAAUGUCCCCGAGCAAGGAUUGUCAAGAGAAAAAAGUUACAUGUAUAAAAUCUACAGUAGAAUUGGAAGAUGGAUCUAAUGAGAAUAACACUAAGGAAACACCAUCCUUCAAAAACUAAAAGCUCCUUGAUGAGGACAAGAAAAUGAAGUGUCCCAGAAGAGGAAAUGCAGUAAGUGUUGGGGAUAAAAAGAAGGUUAGAAAGCGAACAAUUUCAGAAGGGAAGAAAUGACCUCUAAAAGGGAAGCUGGGAUGAUAGCAAAGGCAAUGUCAACGUCCUCACAAUUUCACUUAGAUUUUCCUGGCUACUCUGCAGAAGGCAUGAUAAGAUAAAUGCUUAUUGAUUUCAAGAUCAAGGCAACAGGAUCCUUUCUGUUUAAUUAUUUCUUUGUAAGUUAAAAACUAAAUGCUUUGGCAAGUGCUGUAAAU